rnacentral:tRNA from 1 species
GCACUAGUGGUCUAGUGGUAGAGUAGUACCCUGCCACGGUAUAGACUCGGGUUCGACUCCUAGCUAGUGCA